ACGGAAACGAUGUUAGCUUGCUAACAGGCGUCGAGUGGCGGACGGGUGAGUAACGCGUAGGAAUCUACCAAAUAGCGGGGGAUAGCCCGGAGAAAUCCGGAUUAAUACCGCAUAAUCUCUACGGAGUAAAGAGGGCCUCUAUUUAUAAGCUUUCACUAUUUGAUGAGCCUGCGUAAGAUUAGCUUGUUGGUGAGGUAAAAGCUCACCAAGGCGACGAUCUUUACCUGGUCUGAGAGGACGAUCAGCCACACUGGGACUGAGACACGGCCCAGACUUCUACGGGAGGCAGCAGUAGGGAAUAUUGUCCAAUGGGGGAAACCCUGAGACAGCCAUGCCGCGUGUGUGAAGAAGGCCUUAGGGUUGUAAAGCACUUUCAGUUGGGAGGACAUAGCGUUGUUAAUAGCGACGUGAAGAGACGUUACCAACAGAAGAAGCACCGGCUAACUCCGUGCCAGCAGCCGCGGUAAUACGGAGGGUGCGAACGUUAAUCGGAAUUACUGGGCGUAAAGCGCACGUAGGCGGUUAUGUAAGUGGGAUGUGAAAGCCCAGGGCUCAACCUUGGAACUGCAUUUCAAACUGUAUGACUGGAGUACGAGAGAGGGGGGUAGAAUUCAGAGUGUAGCGGUGAAAUGCGUAGAUAUUCUGAGGAAUACCGGUGGCGAAGGCGGCCCCCUGGCUUGAUACUGACGCUGAGGUGCGAAAGCGUGGGGAGCAAACAGGAUUAGAUACCCUGGUAGUCCACGCCGUAAACGAUGUCUACUAGCCGUUGGGAGGCCUGGACCUUUUAGUGGCGCAGCUAACGCGAUAAGUAGACCGCCUGGGGAGUACGGUCGCAAGAUUAUAACUCAAAUGAAUUGACGGGGGCCCGCACAAGCGGUGGAGCAUGUGGUUUAAUUCGAUGCAACGCGAAGAACCUUACCAGGCCUUGACAUCCUGAGAACUUUCUAGAGAUAGAUUGGUGCCUUCGGGAACUCAGUGACAGGUGUUGCAUGGCUGUCGUCAGCUGGUGUCGUGAGAUGUUGGGUUAAGUCCCGUAACGAGCGCAACCCUUAUCCUUAUUUGCCAGCACUUCGGGUGGGAACUUUAAGGAGACUGCCGGUGAUAGACCGGAGGAAGGAGAGGAUGAUGUCAAGUCAUCAUGGCCCUUACGGCCUGGGCUACACACGUGCUACAAUGGAACGCACAGAGGGCAGCAAAGCGGCGACGUGGAGCCAAUCCCAGAAAACGUUUCGUAGUCCGGAUCGGAGUCUGCAACUCGACUCCGUGAAGUCGGAAUCGCUAGUAAUCGCGAAUCAGAAUGUCGCGGUGAAUACGUUCCCGGGCCUUGUACACACCGCCCGUCACACCAUGGGAGUGGGUUGCACCAGAAGGG
rnacentral:rRNA from 1 species